GAGUCUUGGAGCGUGUAACUUUAAUUGACACAAGAAACACUAUCCCGCCUUGCCCACGACUACACUCGACCUGCAGGGGUCACACCGAGUUCCAUACCCGUUCGAUCGUAUUCUCGUUUCAUUCUUGCUGCAGAACCGAGUCGACACGUUGCGGUAGCCAUCGACAGACGCAUGACGGAAGGCCGUCCUAACGAAGAGCCAAGGUGACGUGAAUUCCAUUUGGUACUCUCUUCCUGGUUCACGAGACAAUUAGGACGGAUUUUCAAACGAUUUCAAUUCACAGGGAAAAAUAAGAGCCUUAAGGGAGAAUUCCGUUUCGAUACAGAGAUGUAUGGAAUGGAGCCUCGUCAGCCUCCAUACUGUGCAAGAAUGGAGGCAACAACCGAGAUCGAUGAUGAUUGCAGAUUUCUUAACCAACGCCGAAUAUUAAUAACGACCUGGAACUAAGUAGAUUUACAGCCAGCUUAUUUAUCGAUAUUGCAAAUGUAGUACAGAUUAAGAAUCAUAAUUCCAUGAGUUCUCGAUAGACUUUGGGUUUUAUUUUCAUAGCAGAAUCUAAUGGACGCGAUAUGGACGUCGUAACGAAGAACCAAAGUGAUGUAGAAUUCUAUUCGGCACGCUCUUCCUGGUUCAAACUCCAAGAGUGACGAUGCUCGAUAGAGAUCUGCGAUGGAGAAUCCGACGUCGAUAGAUAGAAGAGGCAGAGGCCACCGAUCUCUAUAUCGAGUACAGAUGGGAGUAAAAAUCGAAACCAAAGUUACGUACAAGAAAGUCCUUUAUGAACGCGAUUACAAACGCAGUAAAAAAUGUAUAUCUAAAGCU